rnacentral:rRNA from 1 species
AUUGAACGCUGGCGGCAGGCUUAACACAUGCAAGUCGAACGAGUGGCGGACGGGUGAGUAAUGCUUGGGAAUCUAGCUUAUGGAGGGGGAUAACUACGGGAAACUGUAGCUAAUACCGCGUACCAUAGGAUGAGCCCAGGUGGGAUUAGGUAGUUGGUGGGGUAAAGGCUCACCAAGCCGACGAUCUCUAGCUGGUCUGAGAGGAUGACCCGCCACACUGGGACUGAGACACCGCCCAGAAUCCUACGGGAGGGAGCAGUGGGGAAUCGUCCGAAAUGGGCGAAAGUUGACGGAGCAACGCCGCGUGAGUGAUGGCGGGCUUCGGGGUGGAAAGCUAUGUUCAUCGGGAGACGGUACCGGAAGAGGAAGCAACGGCUAACUACGUGCCAGCAGCCGCGGUAAUUC